CUUUUGCGUGCCUUCCACCGCCGCGAGCUCGGAAUGUCUGGCCCCGGGUGCUUCAGGGUCCGAGAACCUGCAGAAGUUCACACUUAAAUCCUACACGAGAGUCGUAUUUAUGAUGCAGAACUCGGUGCAGAACCCGAUGGAGUGCCCAAGGCGCUUGAGCCGUUCCUAGAAGGGGAAGGAGAGCCGCGGGCGGCAGCGGGGCAGGGGACGGAAUUGGGAAGCUUGGGAGCAGGAAGAAGGCCAGAGCUACUUAGGGUACAUUCCACUUUUGCUUGGCGCCGGGUAGGAACCCUGCUAGAAAGGAAGUAACGUGUGUUUGUCUCGUUUGCUGUUGUUUUACAAACAGGGAAAAUGAGGUUGAAAAGGGUGAAUGAAUUCCUUAAGGUCAAGAAAAAGGAUCGGUAUUCAAACCUGCCUAUCUGGAAGAUAAGCUUAGACUGCCCUACAGGAGGCACUGUGGCUUAUCCCCUUGGGGCUUUAAAGAUGUGAGGACCUUAGAGAUCCAUUAGUCUAACCUGUGCGUGGUGCAGCCUCCCCACCCCGACAACAAAUCCAUAUUUUACAGAUGGAGAAACGGAGGCCCAGGGAAGGGAUGUGCCCGAGGUCAUACAAAGAAGUUUGUGGGAAUCCAGGUCUGACUCGCACUCAAUCUAGUGCUCUAAUAAUGACUUGAGUGAAUUGUAUGAAUGUGCUCAGAGGUGGAGCAGCAAUCAUAAAAGUAAUAAUGGUACCAUUUAUGGACCAUCUAACUACUGUGUUAAAACAAUUUACAGGCCAUGCGCGGUGGCUCACGCUUGUAAUCCCAGCACUUUGGGAGGCCGAGGCGGGCAGAUCACGAAGUCAGAAGAUCGAGACCAUCCUGGCUAACACGGGACUCAAGACUGGAAUGGGAAGAGCAUGAAAUUGAGCUGUCUAUCCCCCUGGAUCUCUCAUUGCCACCUGCCCAUAGGUUGGCUGCACCCCUCCACCAAAGAAAGGCCAUGACUCCUUCCUGGCAGCCCUGUCUUACAGCUACUCUCUGGUGAUCUGGGAACCACUCCCUCCCUUACCCCUUGAUGCCUAGGGCUAGUGCCAGCACCUUGUUGUUGUUAGCCUCAGAGGCACUUGCACUGUUCCUUGAUGGUUUUCCCAAAUCUUGCCCUCAUCUUUGUAAAUACUGUUUGCCGUUUAUUACACUGUCAUCAUAUUACCCAA
rnacentral:lncRNA from 1 species